GCGACAAUUGGAACACCGGGUAGAGUCGCGGGAUGCAAUAACUUUCUUUUUUUCACAUCGGAUCGUGGCAUAUCUGCGGCGACGAUUGUAACGUCAGAUCAUGGCAUAUCCGCGGCGAUGAUUGAAGCAUCACGUCCUUUUGUAGAUCAAACAGUAAAACGCCAGCGGCAAUGAUUCGAUCGUCAGGUUGAACGGCGAGGCGUUACCAACCUGCAAUGGAAGAAGAAAACAGAAGAAAGAAAUAAAAUAGCCGCAUCUCACCUUCAUGCGACUCACUUACCAAGUAACAUCACCGAUCCGGUCCUUGAAAUGGAGACGCGGAGUAAAGAUUGCAAGGAGCCGUGAUUACUAAUGUUGUGUUGGAGAUUUGAUCGAGCUGUCAUGAUCUAAACGCUCUUAUAUUAGUUUACGGAGGGAGUACGUAGGUGUGUAUGUGUGUGGUGCUGGCGGCGGCGUGGUUGCUGUGAGAAAAAUGAACUGCGCCGUUGCGCUAUGUGUGUGUCCUCAGUGUCUGAUUGUCACCACCCCUGUACAUCACUAUGAUUUCUUUUUAACUUGGCAAAUGAGAACCAAGUUGAUAUUUUCUCAAA